rnacentral:antisense_RNA from 1 species
AAAUCAAAUAAAGUGAAUUUCUAGUUAUCUUUUUACCAAAUUUCUUUUGAUUAAACUUACGUUAUGCUGUGCAACACAGCUGUAUGAUGACUCUACCUCCACCAUUACUUCCUGCUCAGUUGUGAUUGAAUUAAUCCUUUUAAUUAGUUCUUGUAAUGGGCUUGAAUCCCAUAACCCUCCAUUACUAACUAGAAACGAUGAAGGUCUGAUUGUUGGGUCACCAAGCUGCAUUAAUAAUCUAUUUUUAUCAGACCUUGUGGGAGAAUUUGCUAAAUCGUGUAUAAAACCUAAUAAAAAUUAAUAUUCAUUCAUAAUAAAUACAUUAAAUUAAUGAAGCAACUUACCACUUAUUACAUGCCACUCAAAUGUUACAGCUGAUGGGUCUUUUGAAUCCACUAUUGAAUGUAUUUUCUUGUUUGUAUUGUUUGCUAAUUCCCACAUCUUAUCAAUAUCUGACAUGCAGUCCUUCUCAACUUUCAUGUCCAAUCCCAUAAGCACUGCAUAGGAACCUAAACCAACUGUUUUAAUCUGUUUAGAUUUUUUAUUUUUGGGGCUCAUUACUUUAGAAACUGCUUUUUUAAGCCACGAUGGGCCAAUCUUCUCUCCAUUUUGUGAAUUCAGCUUUGUUAAUGAUAUAUUUAUUUUAUUCAGAUUAUUAAAGAAUUCCCU